rnacentral:lncRNA from 1 species
CCCAGCAAAAAUAUUCUUCAAAAUGAAUGCUAAAUGAAGACAUUAUCAGGCACAGAGAAGCUGAGAUCAUUUGGAACCUUCAGGCCUGCACUAAGAGAAAUUCUAAAGGAAAAUCUCCCAGCGUAAAGAAGAUGAUAUUAAUUGGAGCCCUGAAUCUUCAAUGAAGGAAUAAACAGGACUUGAAAGGAAGGUACCUAACAGCAAGUGGGGCCUAGAGGACUUCCUUGAGAUUUUUUGAAGCUCAUAACCAGACGAGCAACCCCCCGAGGAGGUGAAGUAGGAUAAACGAAGCAUGGAAACUGUUGGCAACUUUCUUGCUGUACAAAGAAAGAUCAUCCGGGACAAAAAAGGCCAACUGAUUAACAGACUGUAUGAAAUUCGAACAUCCCUUGAGCCUUGCGCCCAGGUACCCUUGAGACCAGUUGGUCACCUGCUCUGCCUGCCGUUCCACAAACCUUCCAGCAAAUUCCUAUUCUUCAAUGUCUUAGUUGCAGUUGGACUCCUUUCCUUUCCAAGGUAGAAUAUAUGAUAUUUUUCUCAUGAGCGACUCUUCUCCAAGACACCAAAUAUUUCUCUCCACCUCAGAGGUGACUCUGUUGCAAGUAGUUAAUAGUCAUUCCAAUUAGAGCUGAAGACCUCAUACUAUGAUUUGCCUUUCUGAUGUAAUGUUUACUUUCUAGCUUCUGAGCUCAUAAUUGACAAUGGCAUUACUUUUAUUUGCAGCAGGAUUUCUAGAUGUUGCAAAAAUCAUUAAUGGGUUUUUUUGAUUUAGGUAGUUAUAAAAAGUGAGAAAAAUUAAAAUGGCCUUUUUUGUCUGUGUCAAAGGCUGCCAAUAUUGAAGAUGACUGGAAUUGUAAUAAUAGUAUGCCAAUAAAUUCAACAACAUAUUAUUUUUAAGAUAGAGACAGUGUCUCACUCUCUCACCUAGGCUGCAGUGGCGCAAUCAUUACUCACUGCCACUUUGAACUCCUGGGCUCAAGCAAUCCUCCUGCCUCAGCCUCCUGAGUAGCUGGGACUACAGGUGCGUGCCACCAGGCCCAACCGAAAUUCAAAAACUUCAAUGAAAAGUCCAAAUAUUUUAAAAAUGUACCUAAUCAAAACGGAAACAAGCAGAAUAGAAAACCUGAAACAGCCAUGCAUCUAUUAAAUACAUGGAAUUUGUAAACAAAACCUUCUUACCAAGAAAAUGCCAGGACCAUGUGGUUUCAUUGAAAUUGUUAACAAAAAAUUUAAUGACAAAUAACACCAAUCUUACAGAAAUUGUUUCAGACAAUAAACGCGGUGCUGUUUUCCAGCUCAUGGUUGAAGCUAGUAAAACCCUGCUAUCAAAACAUGAAGAAGACGCUACAAGAGAAGGAGACUUCAAACCAAGCCUUCAUUAACAUAGACAUAGGCACAAGAGUCUCUGAAAAUAUUAGCAAACAAAUCCAGCAAUACAAAACAGGGCAUCUCAUCAUGACCAAGUAGGGUUUCUUCCAUGAAUUCACCAUUAGAAUACCCAUAAUUUACCAUAUCAACAGAACAAAAGAGAAACACCAUACCCCUAGCAUCUCAAUAAAUUCAGAAGAAAAAAGGCCUUUGACAAAAAUUCAACACACAUUCAAAGUAAAUAUUUCAGAAAAUAGGAACAGAAGAAUUGAAUAAAACUGUCUCAAUCCAGAAAAAGAGCAUUGACAAAAACUUAAAGCUGACAUCACGCAUGAUGUUGAAAAACUGAAUGUUUAUCCGCUAAGAUCAGCAAUAAGGCAAGGAUAUCUGCUUUUACUACCUGUUGUUAACAUUGUGCUGAAGCCUUCAGCAAAUGCAUAGGGCAAGGGAAAAAAAUGCGUAGAGAUUGGACCAAAAAAAAGAAUUUAAAUGUUGUUUAUUCACAACACAAUUUUCUACAUAUAAAAUACUCGAGAAUCUAUAAUUCAACUAUUAAAUCAAGUAAGUAAAUUUGGUAAGACCAUGAGCCAUGAUAUACAAAAAUGAACUGUUUUUCUGUAAUUAGCAACAAACAAAUAGGAAAAAUAAAAAUUUUAAAAGGUAUGGAAGAUGCCUACCCUAAGAACUGCAAAACAUUGGUAAGAUAAAUUAAAGAAGUCCUAAAUAGAGAAAUGUAUGAUGUCCAUAUUAUUUAAAUGUGAAUUCCCCCUAGUGAUCGCAGAUGGAAC